UUUUUUUUUUAAACGCCGUAUUAAGAAUGGAAUGAAUCUGGGUUUUCCUUUGAAAUCCCAAAUGUUUAAUGUACAGAGAAGUUUUAAUGUGUCUGUUGGGGAGCUUCAUUAGGAUUGUUUUCUAUCUUUAAUUGGCCAGUAUUGUUUUAUAUUUUAGCAUUUUUGGGGACCAUCAACAUUUGUGUUUCAGUUAUCAUUAAUAUUUUACAAAGUUAUUGAAUGUGCAUGAUUUAGUCUUUAACAAUCUCUUCAAUUAUUUACAUUCCCAUGUAAAAAAUGAAGUAAUGAAGGUCCAUGUAAAUAACAUUCCCAUGCUUAGUGAAGCAUAAUUUCUUGACAUUGCAGUUUCUAAAUGCCCUGUCUUGAGAUUGGGAAAGCUAAAGGACAGUUAAAGGGCAGUCAGAGGUCAAGGUCAGCAAAGCAUCACCUUUGACAUUUGAAAUCCAGCAGCAGGUAUCCCAGUGAACCCCAUUCCAGCAUCCAGGAAGUUUCUCUGCCCUGCCUCUCCUCCAGCCACCUCAGAAUCUGUGUCUGCAGUGUUGGUCCUGCUUUUCUGUCUCUCCUCUGCCUUUUCUUUCUCUUCACCAACUUCUACCGAGUGCCUCUGAUGUCCCAGACAGUGGCAGUGGGAGUACAAAGGCUAAUAAACCCGGCCCUGGUCCUCAGAGAACUUAUAUUUUCUGUGCAGAUAUUAAGUUAUACUGUCAUAUAUGGUGUUGACAAACAUUGAUACAGAUUUCCUGUGAAGUGCAGAAGCACCGUCGUAGAAGCAGAGAAGCAGAGAUGCAGAGGCAGCACUGGUGACUCACACAUGGAGAGCUGGAGUUCUUGGUCUAGUGGGAUAAACUGACCUGGACAUCAUUUCAGUGCAGCGGAGCCUCGUUGAGUUGUGUACAACAGAGAGCUCAGGUGUUGUGGGCAGUUGAGCGGUUGAAGAAUGCAUUGCUAUUAUGUGAGGAACAUUGGCCUUUGAAAAAGCAGAACUGGAUCCACGUUCUUGCCUGGACCCCGUUUGAUGCAGCUGGGUACUACCAGCUGGCACUGGCAGCCACCGUGGACCUGGGCAACAAGAAGGCACAGCUGAAGAUCUCCACGCAGCCGGCCACCAUCUCCCACAACUUCCUCCUGGACCGUGAGAAGUCGCUCCUCUUCUACCAGAAGGCCAGGACCUUUGCCACAGAGCUCAACGUCCACAGGGUCAACCUGCCUCCUCUGCCACUCUGCGGGUGGGCCCUCUGCUUGGCCCCCAGCCACCCUCGCUGAGGACAGCAUCCGAGGGAGUGGGUUUUGUGCAAGGAAGAUGGUCUCCUGCCUCUCCUGGUGUCUCCUGUGGCUCAUUUUCUGGGAAAUGGAGGCAUGAAAGCAGGGUUUAUAUAGCAAUAAAUUUUUUUUGCAAUAACAUACCAAAGUCCCCAGGGCAUCCUUCCCUGUGUGCUUCCUGGGCUGUGUCUAGGUGCCAGCUCCUUCCAUGGUGACAGCCCUCUGAUCUUGGGGAUGAGAAGGACCCUGAGUCCAACAGACCUGGGCCAGGUCACCAUGAGUCUCGGUUUCCUCGGCGGCCAGAGGGGAGACGGUGGUGGAACUGCCUGGGCCGCUCCCUGCUCAGAGCUUUUGCUGUAGGUCUCCUGCCGCCCUUGCCUUUAACCUUCAGGCCACUGUGCCCGGAUAUGGGGGCUGCUAGUGUCCCUGUCCGCCAUUGAAGAAAUAGAGGCACAGAGAGGUUAGGUGUCUGGCCCACCGUCACGCAGCAGGUAGGGGCGGAGACGCAGAGCCCAGUACACUGACCACCACACCACCCUGCCAGCCUGCAGCCAGGAAGGUGUCCCCCAUUAGGACCCAAGGUCAGCUCCUGGACCUCUCUUGUGGUAUCAGGAGAGCCGCAGGCCAGUGAAGGUGGCCCCGGGGAUCCCUCACUCAGUGUCCUCUGCUCCCAGACUUGGUUGGGCCGAGCCUGGCCAGUCCCACCUCUGGCCACUGGUCAGCCCUGCGGGAAGUGAGAUGCACGGAUCUCCGCCUGUGUAGACGCUGCUACCCAGUAUUGAAAGCUUUAUCUGGGCUGCCCCCCAGCCGUCCCCACAUAACCCUCCCCUUCUGGCCCCCGGCCCUCAUCCCAGUCCCUGGAAUCCCAGGUUUUCCUUCUUGGAAUCUCUUGGCCGCAGGAAACACAGCUCACACGGUCCCUUUGCCAGUUUACGGCAAGGAAACAGGUUCAGAGACUGUGGGUGUCCCAUGUGAUUCUCACGUACACUGCACUCUCCCAGUCCCCUCUUUUAAACACUAAACGAGGUGACAUUCACAUCGCAUGCAAU
rnacentral:lncRNA from 1 species